UGGCUAUAUUGGAAACCCUGGUCUGCCUGGGCAAAAAGGAAACAAGGGUAAAGCUGGACCUGGUGGAAGUCCUGGCGACACUGGAAGCAGAGGAGACAGUGGCAGAGCUGGAAAACGGGGCAAGGCUGGCAAGAGAGGAGAUAAGGGAGAACUAGGCCCAGAGGG